rnacentral:lncRNA from 1 species
CUCUAGGGUGCCUCCCAGCUCAAACAUUCUGUUAUUCAGAGCUAGAUCUGAGUCACAUUUUUACCAACUUGGAAUAGGAACCAGGCAACCUACAAGUGUUAGCAAGAAAAACAUUUGCUGACCCCUGAUCUAGAAGGUAAGCUCUACAAGAGCAAGAACAGCACCUUUUCAGCUUGUUGUCACUGGCAGCCUGGCACACGGCCUAGCUCAUUGCAGGUGCAAAAUAAUCAUUUGUUAAUUUAAGGAAGAAACGUAUUAUGAAAAUGUGAGUUUGCUGUGAAAAGAAUGACUGAAAGAAUUUAAAACAUCACCUUGGGAUCAUGACUGUACAUUUUCCAAAGGCCAUGGCCAUUGAAAAAAAUGCUGUCUGCCUUUUUUAGACUGAUAAAGGAAGAAGAUUGCAGGUCUCACAUGAGUCCAUGGUAUCUACAUGAGACCAAUAAAAUGCAAAGAGUUUUUAAAGGCAUGAAUUAACUAAUGUAAUUCACCAUUUGUCAGGCUUAUUAUUUCCUUUUAGGCACAUAACAUGUGGCCUUUGAGCUACACAGUUCAGUCUUUGAGGUAUGCUUAUAGUUAAGUCACCAAAACUGAUGAAUUUGAUCAGAAGAUUUACACCUGUUUGUGGGGAAGGCACUUAUUAUCUCCUUAUACUGUUAUGUCACUUGUUCAAGAGAAGAAUUAUUGAAAACAGGAAUGAGAAGAUUCAAACUUUGAAGUUGGAUGUAGUUUUGAAAUUUUGGUUACACCAAUGAAGCUUUCAGUUUAAAUGGACUCUUUGGCAAAUAUUCUGUAAGGUGAAAAAUGUCCUUUGAUAAUAUAAGCUUCUAAAUUGAUAGCUAAAAUUUGCCUUUCUCCAAGGGAGGGAUAAUUUUAUCAUUCUGGAGCCUGAAGAAUAAUUUCCAGGGAACGUGGUUGGUACUGGGAGGAUGAGAAGAAAUAGUAAUGAAAGCAGAGUUUGGAGCCAGAAAAACUGCAUUUGAGUCUCUGGGCCAGGAACAAUUUAAUUAUCCUUGCUGUGGCUCAUCUGAAAUGAGAAAAUGAUUCCUGUCUCGCGAGGAUGUUCUGAGGAUGAAAUAAGGCUGGAGAGUGCUUAGGACAUAGUAUACGCUCAUAGACAUUCAUCAAAUGUUAGUGCCCUUUCCUUGGACCAAAAGACAAAGGAAAUAGAGGAAAAAACAAGUCUCAUGGAGAAACAGAUUAAACAGAUACAAGUAAGAUGAAAGGCUAAUGUGCUGUUCUCGUGUUAUAAUUCCAAUUGCUCAUGUUUUCAACUGAGAAAAAAAUUCACCUGGAGUUUCUAGAGAUAACGUCAACCCCUCUUCCUGGUCCAGAGAGGGAGACAACUUUACAGAUGGAGAGUUCCUUUACAAUGUAAAUGUCUCUUACAAAGGUUAUUUUCCAGAAGUGCAGUUUUGAUAUGUGGUCACUCCAUUUUGUACAACGCUUCAAUGUCUCUUGCUGGCUACUCAGAAUCCUGGUGCUUUGCUAGCAAGCUGACCUUGGCACUGGAUCUCCUAUCCAAGAACUUGCAUCUACAGAUGGACUUGGUACCCAGCUUUGUGAUAGAAGCCAUGGAGAUAAAUCUAAUUACCUGGAGCUCAAAGGGACUUUGGAAAGGCCUAAAAUCUUCAUUUGUCUUUGAGGUCAUCGUUUGCUAAACUUCAUGGAUGUUAAUUAUUUUUUGGCAGGCAAGAAAUACCAAAGAAUUUGGGAUCCUCUUAAGAAGACAUUGCUUUAUAUUUCAUAAUAUCCCUUAAGUGACUUGUGCAUGACAGGUGCUCAGUAAAUUCUUUCCAAUAGAUUGAAAUAAAUUCUGAACAGUUUGAGUUUGAUAUUUAUAUUUGGCUUAUCAAAUCAUCAUCCCAGAGGCAAAAAUAACUAGAAGGGGGAUGAUCUGAAGUAAAGCUGGACCAAAUUAAUAUUAAAUUAAAUUAAAUUAAAAUGUUGGGAGGUUGACCAUUAUAGAAAAUCCUUUGUAAGUCUAUACUAGUAUCUCAAUAAAUAUUCUAUGGACUAAAAUGUUGAGCUUGUUACAAGAGAAUGAAUGAUACAAACAUUUUUUCAUGUGAAAACAUUCUGCCUAUGGCACCUGGAAGAAUUUAGGGCAUAGUCACACCCAGGAAUUUCAGGCUAAUGAG